rnacentral:rRNA from 1 species
CAGGGAUUGCCUCAGUAGCGGCGAGCGAAGCGGCAAGAGCUCAAAUUUGAAAUCUGGCCCCCGGGCCCGAGUUGUAAUUUGCAGAGGAUGCUCCCGGCGACGCGCCUGCCGAGUCCCCUGGAACGGGGCGCCGCAGAGGGUGAGAGCCCCGUGCGGCGGGACGCCGAGCCGUGCGGAGCUCCCUCGAAGAGUCGAGCAGUUUGGGAAUGCUGCUCUAAGCGGGAGGUACAUUCCUUCUAAAGCUAAAUACCGGUCAGAGACCGAUAGCGCACAAGUAGAGUGAUCGAAAGAUGAAAAGUACCUUGGAAAGAGGGUCAAACAGUACGUGAAAUUGCUGAAGGGAAGCGUCUGCGGCCAGACGCGGGCUCGGUGGAUCAUCCGGUUCUCGCGACCGGUGCACUCCGCCGCUGCCCGGGCCAGCGUCGGCUCGGCCGGGCCAGAAGGACGGGGGAAACGUGGCUCCCCCCGGGGAGACCUUAUAGACCCCCGUUUGAUAGCCCGGCGCGGGCCGAGGAACGCGCUACGUGCAAGGAUGCUGGCGUAAUGGCCGCCGGCG